GCUGGCGUUGGAUUCUACACCUUUAGUCCUAAUGUUUUUGACACUGAAUUCUGCUGCAAAGAAAAUCACAAUGUUGAAGUGAGAAUCUCCAUCAGUGUAAUUUGUGGCCUUAUUGCUGGAGCUCUGGCCUGUUAUGUGUACAAGGUUGGAGUGUUCUGUUUGGGAUGUAUUAUUGGUUGGGCUCUUUCUAUUGUAUUGGUUGCAUUAUGGGUCUCAAAACACCUCAGCAGUGACCUUGCAUUUUAUGGCAUUUAUGCUGCUAGUGGACUUGUGACUGGAAUCCUAGCUGUUUGGUUGGAAAAGAUCUUUGUCAUUGUUGCAACAUCUUUCACUGGUUCACUUAUGUUUC